rnacentral:rRNA from 1 species
UACGGGGGGGGCAAGCGUUGUUCGGAAUUACUGGGCGUAAAGGGCUCGUAGGUGGCCAACUAAGUCGGACGUGAAAUCCCUCGGCUUAACCGGGGAACUGCGUCUGAUACUGGAUGGCUUGGAUUUGGGAGAGGGAUGCGGAAUUCCAGGUGUAGCGGUGAAAUGCGUAGAUAUCUGGAGGAACACCGGUGGCGAAGGCGGCAUCCUGGACCAAUAUUGACGCUGAGGAGCGAAAGCCAGGGGAGCAAACGGG